AUUGAACGCUGGCGGAAUGCUUUACACAUGCAAGUCGAGCGGCAGCGCGGGGUAACCUGGCGGCGAGCGGCGAACGGGUGAGUAAUACAUCGGAACGUGCCCAGACGUGGGGGAUAGCCCGGCGAAAGCCGGAUUAAUACCGCAUACGAUCUACGGAUGAAAGCGGGGGAUCGCAAGACCUCGCGCGUCUGGAGCGGCCGAUGGCAGAUUAGGUAGUUGGUGGGGUAAAAGCUUACCAAGCCUACGAUCUGUAGCUGGUCUGAGAGGACGACCAGCCACACUGGGACUGAGACACGGCCCAG
rnacentral:rRNA from 1 species